rnacentral:tRNA from 4 species
GCCCUCGUAGCUCAGGGGAUAGAGCACCGCUCUCCUAAAGCGGGUGUCGGACGUUCGAAUCGUCUCGAGGGCACUA